CAGAGUAGCUAUAGGGGUAACUUAGCUUUCCUCAUUCUCAUAAAUUUCCUUGCCCCGUAUUGGAAGACAGCUACUCUUUCUGUGAUUACCAUUGUCACGUGAGUCUUCAGAAUGGAGUUAAAAUAAUUAGCAUAGAUUUUUCACUGUAACCAGGGUUUCUCUUUCAUUCUUCAGAUCAUCAAUGGCAUAGAAAUCUACAGCAUGAAAAUUGAUAGCAAAGUGACAUCUCGAUUUGCCCACAAUGUCAUCACCAGUUGAGCUGUCAAUCAUGCCAGUGUGUCUAAGGAAGUUGUUUUUGAUGUGGAGCUCCCCAAGACGGCCUUCAUUACGAAUUUCAGCAUGACAAUUGAUGGCAUCACCUAUCUUGGAAAUAUAUAAGAGAAAGAAGCUGCCAAAAAGCAGUAUGAGAAGGCUGCUUCACAUGGACAUACUGCAGGUCUAGUCAAGUAAGACUCAGAUCAGCGUGUACACCCUUAUAGCAUCGUUAUUCACUUCCAGUCCCAUAGG
rnacentral:lncRNA from 1 species